rnacentral:tRNA from 1 species
CUUUAAUANAAAAACUUACUAAAUGCUGGUUCAAGUCCCUCUACCCCCAAAAAUAUGAAUUUUUUUUUAUUGACAUAA